AUUGAACGCUGGCGGCAGGCUUAACACAUGCAAGUCGAGCGGGGGAAGGUAGCUUGCUACCGGACCUAGCGGCGGACGGGUGAGUAAUGCUUAGGAAUCUGCCUAUUAGUGGGGGACAACAUCUCGAAAGGGAUGCUAAUACCGCAUACGUCCUACGGGAGAAAGCAGGGGAUCUUCGGACCUUGCGCUAAUAGAUGAGCCUAAGUCGGAUUAGCUAGUUGGUGGGGUAAAGGCCUACCAAGGCGACGAUCUGUAGCGGGUCUGAGAGGAUGAUCCGCCACACGGGGACUGAGACACGGCCCAGACUCCUACGGGAGGCAGAAGUGGGGAAUAUUGGACAAUGGGGGGAACCCUGAUCCAGCCAUGCCGCGUGUGUGAAGAAGGCCUUAUGGUUGUAAAGCACUUUAAGCGAGGAGGAGGCUACUUUAGUUAAUACCUAGAGAUAGUGGACGUUACUCGCAGAAUAAGCACCGGCUAACUCUGUGCCAGCAGCCGCGGUAA
rnacentral:rRNA from 1 species